rnacentral:rRNA from 1 species
CAGCAGCCGCGGUAAUACGAAUGGUGCAAGCGUUGUUCGGAAUCACUGGGCAUAAAGAGCACGUAGGCGGUUUGGUAAGUCAGCUGUGAAAUCCCCCGGCUCAACCGAGGAACUGCAGCUGAAACUGUUGAACUAGAGUGCGCGAGGGGAGAGCGGAAUUCCUGGUGGAGCGGUGAUAUGCGUAGAUAUCAGGAGGAACGCCGGAGGCGAAAGCGGCUCUCUGGUGCGCAACUGACGCUGAGGUGCGAAAGCUAGGGGAGCGAACAGGAUUAGAUACCCUGGUAGUCCUAGCCGUAAACGAUGGGCACUAAGUGGAGGGGCUCCCAAGGCCUCUCUGCCGGAGCUAAUGUGUUAAGUGCCCCGCCUGGGGAGUAUGGUCGCAAGGCUGAAACUCAAAGGAAUUGACGG